GCCGGGAUGGCCGAGCGGCUAGGCAAGCGGCUGCAGACCGCUGUACGAGGGUUCAAAUCCCUCUCCCGGCUCCA
rnacentral:tRNA from 1 species